rnacentral:hammerhead_ribozyme from 1 species
AUCCAGCUGACGAAUCCCAAAUAGGACGAAACAUGCGUCCUGAAU